UUUUUUUUUGGGGGGGGGGGGGGGUUGAGGGUUAAAUGAGCCACAAGAGGAAUAAAAAGUUGUCCGUGGGGUGGAGGGUGUGGUGGUUGUUGGUGGGGCGCUCGGUCUUCCUUCAGUAUUCCCACUUUUCGCCGCCAAUAAAAGUUCAAGAUGGAAGUCGAUAAAUCCCGUCAAGGCGAGGGGAGAACCAGUUUGGCGCUUCACGCUCCAGUCCUGGGCCGAGAUGAGCGCGUGAGGGCGGCUGCGGAGUCCGGGGAAAGGAGCUUCGUGGAUGCGGGAGGUGUGUGUGUGUGUGGGGGGCGGGGGGGGGGUGUAGGACUAAGAGGGGCUGGCGGAAGAAGGUUGGAGGCGACCCCGUGCAUGGAUGUGCUUCUCCAAAGGGGUGGGAAGUGUAUGUGUGUGUGUGUGUGGGGGGGGGGGGGGGGGUGUAAGUACUCGAAUUCUCUUUCAAGGUCUUUAUUGUAAUCCUGCUUUUGUGGCGCCUGUAUCUGCUGAAAACACGCCUGUGUGAGUGUGUCAAGUGGAUCCAAACGAGGAGGAAUUCAUUCAGAUAGUAUUUGGAUUGAGCAAAAUCGUUAAAAAUGAAAAAAAAGGACAAAAAAAAAACAAGCGAUGUCGAGUCGAACGUGCAAAACGCUUGCAUUGAAAUAUUCUUGUUCUUGCUGGACAGUGAGAGCACACCUGUAAAGAAACACAAAA